GGGCAUUUCAAAACCACAUGCACUCCCAAUCAGUGUGGAUUACUCAAGGCGUGAACAUCCUUUUUUUUUACGCAAAAGUAAAAAGCCCACACCUAAUGACAUUUAUUAUCUGCAAGAAACACGCCCACACCUUCUUCAUCAGGUUGAUGUUGAAAUGUAAACGAGGAGAAACACUGAUGGCCGGUUCAUUUGGCUGACUAUUUUCAUACAAAUUAUACUGGAAAAAGAAAACAUUGAAAGAUAUAUUUAUAAAUAUUUAAUCCUUUUAAACACUCUCAUCUUACAGAAACAAUCUCAACAUGUAUUUCUGGAAAAAUACUUACUUUAUUACCUCAGUCCUGUUGGUAUUUUUUGCAUUCAUGAGACUUGGAGCAAACUCGGAAACAGAACCUACAAUGACAGCUCCAUCAACAUUUGCAACAGAUAUGUCCGCUAUAACCAAUACCACGUUUGAAUCAUAUACAAGUGAAAGAACUUCAACACUAGAAACUACAUCUUCCUCGAUAGGUACCAAUCCAUCUUCACCAUCUAUGACGGCAGAAGGACAAAGUACAUCAGAAUUGAUUUCACCAACAACAGAAAUAUCUUCAUCCACUUUAGAGCAAACCACAAGCCAGCAGACACAAACAACUCUGUUUACUUCUACCAUAGAAACAGAACCUACAACGACAGAUCAAUUAUCAUUUCCAACAGCUAUGUCACCUACGAGUAUGUCUACAUUCGAAUCAUCUACAAGUGGAAAAAGUUCAACACUGGAUACUACAUCUUCCUUGAUAGGCACCACUCCAUCUUCAACAUCGACGAUAGCAGAAGUACAAAGUACAUCAGAAUUGAUUUCACCAACAACAGAAAUAUCUUCAUCCACUUUAGAGCAAACCACAAGCCAGCAGACAGAAACCACGCUGUUUACUUCUACCAUAGAAACAGAACUUACAAUGACACCUCAAUCAACAUUUACAACAGAUAUCUCCACUAUGACCAGUACCACAAUUGAAUCAUCUACAAGACAAAGUGGAUCAACAGUGGAAACUAUGAUAUCCACAACAAUUAACUCUCUAUCUUCAUUGUCUACUACCACAGAAGGACAAAGUACAUCAGAAUUGAUUUCAUCAACAACAGAAAUAUCUUCAUCCACUGUAGAGCAAACCACAAGUCUGCAGGCCCAAACAACUGUGUUUAGUUCGACCACAGAAACAGAACCUACAACGACAGCUCAAUCAACAUUUACAACAGAUGCAACAGACGGACAAAGUACAUCAGAAUUGAUUUCAUCAACAACAGAAAUGUCUACUUCUAGUGAAGAGCAAACAACAAGCCAGGGGACACAGACCUCUAUGUUUACUUCUACCACAGAAACAGAACCCACAACAAGAGCUCAAUCGACAUUUACAACAGAUAUGUCCCCUACAAGUAUGUCCACAUUAGAAUCAGGUACAAGUGAAAGUGGACCAACGGUGCAAAUUACUCUGUCCACAACAGUUACCUCUCCAUCUUCACCGCCUACUUCAAAAGAAGGACAAAGUACAUCAGAAUUAACUUCAUCAGCAACCGAAAUAUCUUCAUCCACUGUAGAGCAAACAACAAGCCAGCAGGCUCAAACAACUGUGUUUAGUUCGACCACAGAAACAGAACCUAUAACGACAGCUAAAUCAACAUUUACAGCAGCUAUGUCCCCUAUGACCACGACCACGUUUGAAUCAUUUCCAAGUGAAAGAAGUUCAACACUGGAAACUACAUCAUCCUCAACAGGAACGUCUCCAUCUUCACCUUCUACUGCAACAGAUGGACAAAGUACAUCAGAAUUGAUUUCAUCAACAACAGAAAUGUCUACUUCUAGUGAAGAGCAAACAACAAGCCAGGGGACACAAACCUCUAUGUUUACUUCUACCACAGAAACAGAACCCACAACAAGAUCUCAAUCGACAUUUACAACAGAUAUGUCCCCUACAAGUAUGUCCACAUUAGAAUCAUCUACAAGUGAAAGUGGAUCAACGGUGCAAACUACUCUGUACUCAACAGGUACUUCUACAUCUUCACCAUCUACUUCAACGGAAGGACAAAGUACAUCAGAAUUAACUUCAUCCGCAACAGAAAUAUCAUCAUCCACUGUAGAGCAAACAACAAGCCAGCAGGCUCAAACAACUGUGUUUAGUUCGACCACAGAAACAGAACCUACAACGACAGCUCAAUCAACAUUUACAACAGUUAUGUCCCCUAUGACCACGACCACAUUUGAAUCAUUUACAAGUGAAAGAAGUUCAACACUGGAAACUACAUCAUCCUCAACAGGAACGUCUCCAUCUCCACCUUCUACUGCAACAGAUGGACAAAGUACAUCAGAAUUGAUUUCAUCAACAACAGAAAUGUCUACUUCUAGUAAAGAGCAAACAACAAGCCAGGGGACACAAACCUCUAUGUUUACUUCUACCACAGAAACAGAACCCACAACAAGAGCUCAAUCGACAUUUACAACAGAUAUGUCCCCUACAAGUAUGUCCACAUUAGAAUCAUCUACAAGUGAAAGUGGAUCAACGGUGCAAACUACUCUGUACUCAACAGGUACUUCUACAUCUUCACCAUCUACUUCAACGGAAGGACAAAGUACAUCAGAAUUAACUUCAUCCGCAACAGAAAUAUCAUCAUCCACUGUAGAGCAAACAACAAGCCAGCAGGCUCAAACAACUGUGUUUAGUUCGACCACAGAAACAGAACCUACAACGACAGCUCAAUCAACAUUUACAACAGUUAUGUCCCCUAUGACCACGACCACAUUUGAAUCAUUUACAAGUGAAAGAAGUUCAACACUGGAAACUACAUCAUCCUCAACAGGAACGUCUCCAUCUCCACCUUCUACUGCAACAGAUGGACAAAGUACAUCAGAAUUGAUUUCAUCAACAACAGAAAUGUCUACUUCUAGUAAAGAGCAAACAACAAGCCAGGGGACACAAACCUCUAUGUUUACUUCUACCACAGAAACAGAACCCACAACAAGAGCUCAAUCGACAUUUACAACAGAUAUGUCCCCUACAAGUAUGUCCACAUUAGAAUCAUCUACAAGUGAAAGUGGAUCAACGGUGCAAACUACUCUGUACACAACAGGUACUUCUACAUCUUCACCAUCUACUUCAACGGAAGGACAAAGUACAUCAGAAUUAACUUCAUCCGCAACAGAAAUAUCAUCAUCCACUGUAGAGCAAACAACAAGCCAGCAUGCUCAAACAACUGUGUUUAGUUCUACCACAGAAACAGAACCUACAACGACAGCUCAAUCAACAUUUACAACAGCUAUGUCCCCUAUGACCACGACCACUAUUGAAUCAUCUACAAGUGAAAGAACUUCAACACUGGAAACUACAUCAUCCUCAACAGGAACGUCUCCAUCUUCACCUUCUACUGCAACAGAUGGACAAAGUACAUCAGAAUUGAUUUCAUCAACAACAGAAAUGUCUACUUCUAGUGAAGAGCAAACAGCAAGCCAGGGGACACAAACCUCUAUGUUUACUUCUACCAGAGAAACAGAACCUACAAAGACAGCUCAAUCAACAUUUGCAUCAGCUGUUUCUCCUACGAGUAUGUCCACAUUAGAAUCAGGUACAAGUGAAAGUGGAUCAACAUUGCAAACUACUCUGUACACAACAGGUACUUCUAUAUCUUCACCAUCUACUUCAACGGAAGGACAAAGUACAUCAGAAUUAACUUCAUCAGCAACCAAAAUAUCUUCAUCCACUGUAGAGCAAACAACAAGCCAGCAGGCUCAAACAACUGUGUUUAGUUCGACCACAGAAACAGAACCUACAACGACAGCUCAAUCAACAUUUACAACAUCUAUGUCCCCUAUGAUCACGACAACGUUUGAAUCAUUUACAAGUGAAAGAAGUUCAACACUGGAAACUACAUCAUCCUCAACAGGAACGUCUCCAUCUUCACAGUCUACUGCAACAGACGGACAAAGUACAUCAGAACUGAUUUCAUCAACAACAGAAAUGUCUACUUCUAGUGAAGAGCAAACAACAAGCCAGGGGACACAAACCUCUAUGUUUACUUCUACCACAGAAACAGAACCCACAACAAGAGCUCAAUCGACAUUUACAACAGAUAUGUCCCCUACAAGUAUGUCCACAUUAGAAUCAUCUACAAGUGAAAGUGGAUCAACAGUGCAAACUACUCUGUACACAACAGGUACUUCUACAUCUUCACCAUCUACUUCAACGGAAGGACAAAGUACAUCAGAAUUAACUUCAUCGGCAACAGAAAUAUAUUCAUCGACUGUAGAGCAAACAACAAGCCAGCAGGCUCAAACAACUGUGUUUAGUUCUACCACAGAAACAGAACCUAUAAUGACAGCUCAAUCAACAUUUACAACAGCUAUGUCCCCUUUGACCACAACCACUAUUGAAUCAUCUACAAAUGAAAGAAGUUCAACACUGGAAACUACAUCAUCCUCAAGAGGAAUGUCUCCAUCUUCACCUUCUGCUGCAACAGACGGACAAAGUACAUCAGAAUUGAUUUCAUCAACAACAGAAAUGUCUACUUCUAGUGAAGAGCAAACAGCAAGCCAGGGGACACAAACCUCUAUGUUUACUUCUACCACAGAAACAGAACCCACAACAAGAGCUCAAUCGACAUUUACAACAGAUAUGUCCCCUACAAGUAUGUCCACAUUAGAAUCAGGUACAAGUGAAAGUGGACCAACGGUGCAAACUACUCUGUACGCAACAGGUACUUCUACAUCUUCACCAUCUACUUCAACGGAAGGACAAAGUACAUCAGAAUUAACUUCAUCCGCAACAGAAAUAUCAUCAUCCACUGUAGAGCAAACAACAAGCCAGCAGGCUCAAACAACUGUGUUUAGUUCGACCACAGAAACAGAACCUACAACGACAGCUCAAUCAACAUUUACAACAGCUAUGUCCCCUAUGACCACGACCACAUUUGAAUCAUUUACAAGUGAAAGAAGUUCAACACUGGAAACUACAUCAUCCUCAACAGGAACAUCUCCAUCUUCACAGUCUACUGCAACAGACGGACAAAGUACAUCAGAAUUGAUUUCAUCAACAACAGAAAUGCCUACUUCUAGUGCAGAGACAACAGCAAGCCAGGGGACACAAACCUCUAUGUUUACUUCUACCACAGAAACAGAACCCUCAACAAGAGCUCAAUCGACAUUUACAACAGAUAUGUCCCCUACAAGUAUGUCCACAUUAGAAUCAUCUACAAGUGAAAGUGGAUCAACGUUGCAAACUACUCUGUACACAACAGGUACUUCUACAUCUUCACCAUCUACUUCAACGGAAGGACAAAGUACAUCAGAAUUAACUUCAUCGGCAACAGAAAUAUAUUCAUCGACUGUAGAGCAAACAACAAGCCAGCAGGCUCAAACAACUGUGUUUAGUUCUACCACAGAAACAGAACCUAUAAUGACAGCUCAAUCAACAUUUACAACAGCUAUGUCCCCUUUGACCACAACCACUAUUGAAUCAUCUACAAGUGAAAGAAGUUCAACACUGGAAACUACAUCAUCCUCAAGAGGAAUGUCUCCAUCUUCACCUUCUGCUGCAACAGACGGACAAAGUACAUCAGAAUUGAUUUCAUCAACAACAGAAAUGUCUACUUCUAGUGAAGAGCAAACAGCAAGCCAGGGGACACAAACCUCUAUGUUUACUUCUACCACAGAAACAGAACCAACAACAAGAGCUCAAUCGACAUUUACAACAGAUAUGUCCCCUACAAGUAUGUCCACAUUAGAAUCAGGUACAAGUGAAAGUGGACCAACGGUGCAAAUUACUCUGUCCACAACAGUUACCUCUCCAUCUUCACCGUCUACUUCAACAGAAGAACAAAGUACAUCAGAAUUAACUUCAUCAGCAACCGAAAUAUCUUCAUCCACUGUAGAGCAAACAACAAGCCAGCAGGCUCAAACAACUGUGUUUAGUUUUACCACAGAAACAGAACCUAUAAUGACAGCUCAAUCAACAUUUACAACAGCUAUGUCCCCUAUGACCACGACCACUAUUGAAUCAUCUACAAGUGAAAGAAGUUCAACACUGGAAACUACAUCAUCCUCAACAGGAACAUCUCCAUCUUCACCUUCUACUGCAACAGAUGGACAAAGUACAUCAGAACUGAUUUCAUCAACAACAGAAAUGUCUACUUCUAGUGAAGAGCAAACAACAAGCCAGGGGACACAAACCUCUAUGUUUACUUCUACCACAGAAACAGAACCCACAACAAGAGCUCAAUCGACAUUUACAACAGAUAUGUCCCCUACAAGUAUGUCCACAUUAGAAUCAUCUACAAGUGAAAGUGGAUCAACAGUGCAAACUACUCUGUACACAACAGGUACUUCUACAUCUUCACCAUCUACUUCAACGGAAGGACAAAGUACAUCAGAAUUAACUUCAUCGGCAACAGAAAUAUAUUCAUCGACUGUAGAGCAAACAACAAGCCAGCAGGCUCAAACAACUGUGUUUAGUUCUACCACAGAAACAGAACCUAUAAUGACAGCUCAAUCAACAUUUACAACAGCUAUGUCCCCUUUGACCACAACCACUAUUGAAUCAUCUACAAGUGAAAGAAGUUCAACACUGGAAACUACAUCAUCCUCAAGAGGAAUGUCUCCAUCUUCACCUUCUGCUGCAACAGACGGACAAAGUACAUCAGAAUUGAUUUCAUCAACAACAGAAAUGUCUACUUCUAGUGAAGAGCAAACAGCAAGCCAGGGGACACAAACCUCUAUGUUUACUUCUACCACAGAAACAGAACCCACAACAAGAGCUCAAUCGACAUUUACAACAGAUAUGUCCCCUACAAGUAUGUCCACAUUAGAAUCAGGUACAAGUGAAAGUGGACCAACGGUGCAAAUUACUCUGUCCACAACAGUUCCCUCUCCAUCUUCACCAUCUACUUCAACAGAAGGACAAAGUACAUCAGAAUUAACUUCAUCAGCAACCGAAAUAUCUUCAUCCACUGUAGAGCAAACAACAAGCCAGGGGACACAAACCUCUAUGUUUACUUCUACCACAGAAACAGAACCCACAACAAGAGCUCAAUCGACAUUUACAACAGAUAUGUCGCCUACAAGUAUGUCCACAUUAGAAUCAGGUACAAGUGAAAGUGGACCAACGGUGCAAAUUACUCUGUCCACAACAGUUACCUCUCCAUCUUCACCGUCUACUUCAACAGAAGAACAAAGUACAUCAGAAUUAACUUCAUCAGCAACCGAAAUAUCUUCAUCCACUGUAGAGCAAACAACAAGCCAGCAGGCUCAAACAACUGUGUUUAGUUUUACCACAGAAACAGAACCUAUAAUGACAGCUCAAUCAACAUUUACAACAGCUAUGUCCCCUAUGACCACGACCACUAUUGAAUCAUCUACAAGUGAAAGAAGUUCAACACUGGAAACUACAUCAUCCUCAACAGGAACAUCUCCAUCUUCACCUUCUACUGCAACAGAUGGACAAAGUACAUCAGAAUUGAUUUCAUCAACAACAGAAAUGUCUACUUCUAGUGAAGAGCAAACAGCAAGCCAGGGGACAAAAACCUCUAUGUUUACUUCUACCACAGAAACAGAACCCACAACAAGAGCUCAAUCGACAUUUACAACAGAUAUGUCCCCUACAAGUAUGUCCACAUUAGAAUCAUCUACAAGUGAAAGUGGAUCAACAGUGCAAACUACUCUGUACACAACAGGUACUUCUACAUCUUCACCAUCUACUUCAACGGAAGGACAAAGUACAUCAGAAUUAACUUCAUCGGCAACAGAAAUAUCUUCAUCCACUGUAGAGCAAACAACAAGCCAGCAGGCUCAAACAACUGUGUUUAGUUCUACCACAGAAACAGAACCUAUAAUGACAGCUCAAUCAACAUUUACAACAGCUAUGUCCCCUAUGACCACGACCACUAUUGAAUCAUCUACAAGUGAAAGAAGUUCAACACUGGAAACUACAUCAUCCUCAACAGGAACAUCUCCAUCUUCACAGUCUACUGCAACAGACGGACAAAUUACAUCAGAAUUGAUUUCAUCAACAACAGAAAUGUCUACUUCUAGUGAAGAGCAAACAACAAGCCAGGGGACACAAACCUCUAUGUUUACUUCUACCACAGAAACAGAACCCACAACAAGAGCUCAAUCGACAUUUACAACAGAUAUGUCCCCUACAAGUAUGUCCACAUUAGAAUCAUCUACAAGUGAAAGUGGAUCAACGGUGCAAACUACUCUGUACACAACAGGUACUUCUACAUCUUCACCAUCUACUUCAACAGAAGGACAAAGUACAUCAGAAUUAACUUCAUCCGCAACAGAAAUAUCAUCAUCCACUGUAGAGCAAACAACAAGCCAGCAGGCUCAAACAACUGUGUUUAGUUCGACCACAGAAACAGAACCUACAACGACAGCUCAAUCAACAUUUACAACAGUUAUGUCCCCUAUGACCACGACCACAUUUGAAUCAUUUACAAGUGAAAGAAGUUCAACACUGGAAACUACAUCAUCCUCAACAGGAACGUCUCCAUCUUCACAGUCUACUGCAACAGACGGACAAAGUACAUCAGAAUUGAUUUCAUCAACAACAGAAAUGUCUACUUCUAGUGAAGAGCAAACAGCAAGCCAGGGGACAAAAACCUCUAUGUUUACUUCUACCACAGAAACAGAACCCACAACAAGAGCUCAAUCGACAUUUACAACAGAUAUGUCCCCUACAAGUAUGUCCACAUUAGAAUCAUCUACAAGUGAAUUUGGAUCAACAGUGCAAGCUACUCUGUACACAACAGGUACUUCUACAUCUUCACCAUCUACUUCAACGGAAGGACAAAGUACAUCAGAAUUAACUUCAUCGGCAACAGAAAUAUCUUCAUCCACUGUAGAGCAAACAACAAGCCAGCAGGCUCAAACAACUGUGUUUAGUUCUACCACAGAAACAGAACCUAUAAUGACAGCUCAAUCAACAUUUACAACAGCUAUGUCCCCUAUGACCACGACCACUAUUGAAUCAUCUACAAGUGAAAGAAGUUCAACACUGGAAACUACAUCAUCCUCAACAGGAACAUCUCCAUCUUCACAGUCUACUGCAACAGACGGACAAAUUACAUCAGAAUUGAUUUCAUCAACAACAGAAAUGUCUACUUCUAGUGAAGAGCAAACAACAAGCCAGGGGACACAAACCUCUAUGUUUACUUCUACCACAGAAACAGAACCCACAACAAGAGCUCAAUCGACAUUUACAACAGAUAUGUCCCCUGCAAGUAUGUCCACAUUAGAAUCAUCUACAAGUGAAAGUGGAUCAACAGUGCAAACUACUCUGUACACAACAGGUACUUCUACAUCUUCACCAUCUACUUCAACGGAAGGACAAAGUACAUCAGAAUUAACUUCAUCCGCAACAGAAAUAUCUUCAUCCACUGUAGAGCAAACAACAAGCCAGCAGGCUCAAACAACUGUGUUUAGUUCUACCACAGAAACAGAACCUAUAAUGACAGCUCAAUCAACAUUUACAACAGCUAUGUCCCCUAUGACCACGACCACUAUUGAAUCAUCUACAAGUGAAAGAAGUUCAACACUGGAAACUACAUCAUCCUCAACAGGAACGUCUCCAUCUUCACAGUCUACUGCAACAGACGGACAAAGUACAUCAGAAUUGAUUUCAUCAACAACAGAAAUGUCUACUUCUAGUGAAGAGCAAACAACAAGCCAGGGGACACAAACCUCUAUGUUUACUUCUACCACAGAAACAGAACCCACAACAAGAGCUCAAUCGACAUUUACAACAGAUAUGUCCCCUACAAGUAUGUCCACAUUAGAAUCAUCUACAAGUGAAAGUGGAUCAACGGUGCAAACUACUCUGUACACAACAGGUACUUCUACAUCUUCACCAUCUACUUCAACAGAAGGACAAAGUACAUCAGAAUUAACUUCAUCCGCAACAGAAAUAUCUUCAUCCACUGUAGAGCAAACAACAAGCCAGCAGGCUCAAACAACUGUGUUUAGUUCGACCACAGAAACAGAACCUACAACGACAGCUCAAUCAACAUUUACAACAGCUAUGUCCCCUAUGACCACGACCACAUUUGAAUCAUUUACAAGUGAAAGAAGUUCAACACUGGAAACUACAUCAUCCUCAACAGGAACGUCUCCAUCUUCACAGUCUACUGCAACAGACGGACAAAGUACAUCAGAAUUGAUUUCAUCAACAACAGAAAUGUCUACUUCUAGUGAAGAGCAAACAACAAGCCAGGGGACACAAACCUCUAUGUUUGCUUCUACCACAGAAACAGAACCCACAACAAGAGCUCAAUCGACAUUUACAACAGAUAUGUCCCCUACAGGUAUGUCCACAUUAGAAUCAUCUACAAGUGAAAGUGGAUCAACGGUGCAAACUACUCUGUACACAACAGGUACUUCUACAUCUUCACCAUCUACUUCAACGGAAGGACAAAGUACAUCAGAAUUAACUUCAUCCGCAACAGAAAUAUCAUCAUCCACUGUAGAGCAAACAACAAGCCAGCAGGCUCAAACAACUGUGUUUAGUUCUACCACAGAAACAGAACCUAUAAUGACAGCUCAAUCAACAUUUACAACAGCUAUGUCCCCUAUGACCACGACCACUAUUGAAUCAUCUACAAGUGAAAGAAGUUCAACACUGGAAACUACAUCAUCCUCAACAGGAACAUCUCCAUCUUCACAGUCUACUGCAACAGACGGACAAAGUACAUCAGAAUUGAUUUCAUCAACAACAGAAAUGUCUACUUCUAGUGAAGAGCAAACAACAAGCCAGGGGACACAAACCUCUAUGUUUACUUCUACCACAGAAACAGAACCCACAACAAGAGCUCAAUCGACAUUUACAACAGAUAUGUCCCCUACAAGUAUGUCCACAUUAGAAUCAUCUACAAGUGAAAGUGGAUCAACAGUGCAAACUACUCUGUACACAACAGGUACUUCUACAUCUUCACCAUCUACUUCAACGGAAGGACAAAGUACAUCAGAAUUAACUUCAUCCGCAACAGAAAUAUCUUCAUCCACUGUAGAGCAAACAACAAGCCAGCAGGCUCAAACAACUGUGUUUAGUUCUACCACAGAAACAGAACCUAUAAUGACAGCUCAAUCAACAUUUACAACAGCUAUGUCCCCUAUGACCACGACCACUAUUGAAUCAUCUACAAGUGAAAGAAGUUCAACACUGGAAACUACAUCAUCCUCAACAGGAACAUCUCCAUCUUCACAGUCUACUGCAACAGACGGACAAAGUACAUCAGAAUUGAUUUCAUCAACAACAGAAAUGUCUACUUCUAGUGAAGAGCAAACAACAAGCCAGGGGACACAAACCUCUAUGUUUACUUCUACCACAGAUACAGAACCCACAACAAGAGCUCAAUCGACAUUUACAACAGAUAUGUCCCCUACAAGUAUGUCCACAUUAGAAUCAUCUACAAGUGAAAGUGGAUCAACAGGGCAAACUACUCUGUACACAACAGGUACUUCUACAUCUUCACCAUCUACUUCAACGGAAGGACAAAGUACAUCAGAAUUAACUUCAUCGGCAACAGAAAUAUCUUCAUCCACUGUAGAGCAAACAACAAGCCAGCAGGCUCAAACAACUGUGUUUAGUUCUACCACAGAAACAGAACCUAUAAUGACAGCUCAAUCAACAUUUACAACAGCUAUGUCCCCUAUGACCAUGACCACUAUUGAAUCAUCUACAAGUGAAAGAAGUUCAACACUGGAAACUACAUCAUCCUCAACAGGAACAUCUCCGUCUUCACAGUCUACUGCAACAGACGGACAAAGUACAUCAGAAUUGAUUUCAUCAACAACAGAAAUGUCUACUUCUAGUGAAGAGCAAACAACAAGCCAGGGGACACAAACCUCUAUGUUUACUUCUACCACAGAAACAGAACCCACAACAAGAGCUCAAUCGACAUUUUACAACAGAUAUGUCCCCUACAAGUAUGUCCACAUUAGAAUCAUCUACAAGUGA
ensembl:lncRNA